rnacentral:rRNA from 1 species
CUCCAGACUCCUACGGGAGGCAGCAGUGGGGAAUAUUGCACAAUGGGGGAAACCCUGAUGCAGCGACGCCGCGUGAGCGAUGAAGUAUUUCGGUAUGUAAAGCUCUAUCAGCAGGGAAGAAAAUGACGGUACCUGACUAAGAAGCCCCGGCUAACUACGUGCCAGCAGCCGCGGUAAUACGUAGGGGGCAAGCGUUAUCCGGAUUUACUGGGUGUAAAGGGAGCGUAGACGGCAAUGCAAGCCAGAUGUGAAAGCCCGGGGCUCAACCCCGGGACUGCAUUUGGAACUGUGUAGCUGGAGUGUCGGAGAGGCAGGCGGAAUUCCUAGUGUAGCGGUGAAAUGCGUAGAUAUUAGGAGGAACACCAGUGGCGAAGGCGGCCUGCUGGACGAUGACUGACGUUGAGGCUCGAAAGCGUGGGGAGCAAACAGGAUUAGAUACCCGCGUA